AUUGAACGCUGUCGGCAGGCCUAACACAUGCAAGUCGAGCGGAGCGGCGGACGGGUGAGUAAUGCCUAGGAAUCUGCCUGGUAGUGGGGGAUAACGUCCGGAAACGGGCGCUAAUACCGCAUACUCUCAGAUGAGCCUAGUUCGGAUUAGCUAGGUGGUGGGGUAAAGGCCUAACAAGGCGACGAUCCGUAACUGGUCUGAGAGGAUGAUCAGCCACACUGGAACUGAGACACGGUCCAGACGCCUACGGGAGGCAGCAGUGGGGAAUAUUGCACAAUGGGCGAAAGCAUGAUGUAGCCAUGCCGCGUGUAUGAAGAAGGCCUUCGGGUUGUAAAGUACUUUCAGCGAGGAGGCGUUACUCGCAGAAGAAGCACCGGCUAACUCCGUGCCAGCAGCCGCGGUAAUAC
rnacentral:rRNA from 1 species